AUGGCUCAGAUUGAACGCUGGCGGCAGGCCUAACACAUGCAAGUCGAGCGGUAGCACAGAGAGCUUGCUCUCGGGUGACGAGCGGCGGACGGGUGAGUAAUGUCUGGGAAACUGCCUGAUGGAGGGGGAUAACUACUGGAAACGGUAGCUAAUACCGCAUAACGUCGCAAGACCAAAGUGGGGGACCUUCGGGCCUCAUGCCAUCAGAUGUGCCCAGAUGGGAUUAGCUAGUAGGUGGGGUAACGGCUCACCUAGGCGACGAUCCCUAGCUGGUCUGAGAGGAUGACCAGCCACACUGGAACUGAGACACGGUCCAGACUCCUACGGGAGGCAGCAGUGGGGAAUAUUGCACAAUGGGCGCAAGCCUGAUGCAGCCAUGCCGCGUGUGUGAAGAAGGCCUUCGGGUUGUAAAGCACUUUCAGCGGGGAGGAAGGCGGUGAGGUUAAUAACCUCAUCGAUUGACGUUACCCGCAGAAGAAGCACCGGCUAACUCCGUGCCAGCAGCCGCGGUAAUACGGAGGGUGCAAGCGUUAAUCGGAAUUACUGGGCGUAAAGCGCACGCAGGCGGUCUGUCAAGUCGGAUGUGAAAUCCCCGGGCUCAACCUGGGAACUGCAUUCGAAACUGGCAGGCUAGAGUCUUGUAGAGGGGGGUAGAAUUCCAGGUGUAGCGGUGAAAUGCGUAGAGAUCUGGAGGAAUACCGGUGGCGAAGGCGGCCCCCUGGACAAAGACUGACGCUCAGGUGCGAAAGCGUGGGGAGCAAACAGGAUUAGAUACCCUGGUAGUCCACGCUGUAAACGAUGUCGAUUUGGAGGUUGUGCCCUUGAGGCGUGGCUUCCGGAGCUAACGCGUUAAAUCGACCGCCUGGGGAGUACGGCCGCAAGGUUAAAACUCAAAUGAAUUGACGGGGGCCCGCACAAGCGGUGGAGCAUGUGGUUUAAUUCGAUGCAACGCGAAGAACCUUACCUGGUCUUGACAUCCACAGAACUUUCCAGAGAUGGAUUGGUGCCUUCGGGAACUGUGAGACAGGUGCUGCAUGGCUGUCGUCAGCUCGUGUUGUGAAAUGUUGGGUUAAGUCCCGCAACGAGCGCAACCCUUAUCCUUUGUUGCCAGCGGUCCGGCCGGGAACUCAAAGGAGACUGCCAGUGAUAAACUGGAGGAAGGUGGGGAUGACGUCAAGUCAUCAUGGCCCUUACGACCAGGGCUACACACGUGCUACAAUGGCAUAUACAAAGAGAAGCGACCUCGCGAGAGCAAGCGGACCUCAUAAAGUAUGUCGUAGUCCGGAUUGGAGUCUGCAACUCGACUCCAUGAAGUCGGAAUCGCUAGUAAUCGUAGAUCAGAAUGCUACGGUGAAUACGUUCCCGGGCCUUGUACACACCGCCCGUCACACCAUGGGAGUGGGUUGCAAAAGAAGUAGGUAGCUUAACCUUCGGGAGGGCGCUUACCACUUUGUGAUUCAUGACU
rnacentral:rRNA from 1 species